GGACUUACUCUUCGGAGUGAGAGCGUACACAGGUGCUGCAUGGCUGUCGUCAGCUCGUGUCGUGAGAUGUUGGGUUAAGUCCCGCAACGAGCGCAACCCUGCAUUCAGUUGCCAUCGGUAAGGCCGGGCACUCUGGAUGGACUGCCGGCGACAAGCCGGAGGAAGGUGGGGACGACGUCAAGUCAUCAUGGCCCUUAUGUCCAGGGCGACACACGUGCUACAAUGGCCGGCACAACGGGAAGCGAAGGGGCGACCCUGAGCGGAUCCCACAAAAGCCGGUCUCAGUUCGGAUUGCAGUCUGCAACUCGACUGCAUGAAGUUGGAAUCGCUAGUAAUCGUGGAUCAGCCAAGCCGCGGUGAAUACGUUCCCGGGCCUU
rnacentral:rRNA from 1 species